GAAUCGAGUUAUUCGAGUUAAUCGAGUUAUUCGAAUCAACUCGAAUUUUUUUUUUCGAAUUUCGAGUUCGAAUCGAGUUGAGUUUUCGAAUUCGAAUAACUCGAAUAAUUUGAAUAAUUCGAAUAUCAAACUAUAAUAUUUUACAUUUUUACCCCAAAUUCCCAAACCUUUUUACUUUUCCCUCAAAACUUUUACUCCUUCCCACUUU
rnacentral:lncRNA from 1 species